GCACCGGUAGCUCAGUUGGUAGAGCAUCCGCACGCCACGCGGUUGGCCCUAGGUUCGAGUCCUGGCCGGUGUA